UGAUGUGGAUUAAUUCGAUGCAACGCGAAAAACCUUACCUACCCUUGACAUGUCUGGAAUGCCGAAGAGAUUUGGCAGUGCUCGCAAGAGAACCGGAACACAGGUGCUGCAUGGCUGUCGUCAGCUCGUGUCGUGAGAUGUUGGGUUAAGUCCCGCAACGAGCGCAACCCUUGUCAUUAGUUGCUACGCAAGAGCACUCUAAUGAGACUGCCGGUGACAAACCGGAGGAAGGUGGGGAUGACGUCAAGUCCUCAUGGCCCUUAUGGGUAGGGCUUCACACGUCAUACAAUGGUCGGGACAGAGGGUCGCCAACCCGCGAGGGGGAGCCAAUCUCAGAAACCCGAUCGUAGUCCGGAUCGCAGUCUGCAACUCGACUGCGUGAAGUCGGAAUCGCUAGUAAUCGCGGAUCAGAAUGUCGCGGUGAAUACGUUCCCGGGUCUUGUACACACCGCCCGUCACACCAUGGGAGUGGGUUUCACCAGAAGUAGGUAGCCUAACCGUAAGGAGGGCGCUUACCACGGUGGGAUUCAUGACUGGGGUGAAGUCGUAACAAGGUAACCG
rnacentral:rRNA from 1 species